rnacentral:sRNA from 1 species
ACUCGCGAUUCCUUGAUCUCCACCGCUGGAUUCGUUCUCUGUUUUCCUCUGAUUCGCGUCCUCCUCCUUAGUCGGAGCUUUCUCUCCCAAAGUAAUUGCGCAAGCGAAUCUCAUACCUCCAAUCCAAGCCGAUAUGCAACAUGAGGCUACAAGAGAUGGCUUGCCGAGAACGCCUCGUAAGACGUAAUCGGACGGAUCGUUGAGAACAAACGUGGUUUAGUCGCCGUUAACCGCCGCCUUGGCUUCACCGACUCAUCGGAGAGAAGUGAGAUCAACUCUUAUGGAUCAUCAUGUUGCAGAGGAGAUCAUCAUCAUCAUCGACUUUUCACUUCUUCAAUAAUGGAUCAUCGGAAUUCACACAGAGUCUCUGUAUAAAGAGAUUCUCUCAAGAAGAAAAUUAAAGAAGAAGAAGAAGAUGCGUGAAUCAGAGAGUUUUUGAUUUUUUUUUUUCUCUCAAGGAAGAAUUAGAAGAGGCUGCGUGUGAGAAUCUGUAUUUAUAAGCGAAGUGUUAAUUAGGUCUUGAUCUAUAAUGAUAACCGUUUGUUCAAUGUAGCCGUUGGAGUCGGUUAAUGACUUUGACAUAAGCAGAUAUUUGUAUUGAAUAUUGUUCUUAAUUUCCUUUUCUU